rnacentral:tRNA from 1 species
UCCCUGGUGGUUCAGUGGUUAAGACUCUGCGCUUUCAAUGCAGGGCCUUGGGUUUGAUACCUGGUCAGGGAA